rnacentral:rRNA from 1 species
GUUUAAAAGGACGGCGUAAGCUGUCGCUAAAGGAUGGACCUGCGAUGCAUUAGCUAGUUGGUAAGGUAACGGCUUACCAAGGCGAUGAUGCAUAGCCCGAGUUGAGAGACUGAUCGGCCACAUUGGGACUGAGACACGGCCCAAACUCCUACGGGAGGCAGCAGUAGGGAAUCUUCCACAAUGGACGAAAGUCUGAUGGAGCAACGCCGCGUGAGUGAAGAAGGUUUUCGGCUCGUAAAGCUCUGUUGUUGGUGAAGAAGGACAGGGGGUAGUAACUGACCUUUGUUUGACGGUAAUCAAUUAGAAAGUCACGGCUAACUACGUGCCAGCAGCCGCGGUAAU